UACGGAGGAUGCGAGCGUUAUCCGGAUUUAUUGGGUUUAAAGGGUGCGCAGGCGGGAGAUUAAGUCGGCGGUGAAAUUUUGCAGCUCAACUGUAAAAGUGCCUUCGAAACUGGUUUCCUUGAGUGUAGAUGAAGUAGGCGGAAUUUGUGGUGUAGCGGUGAAAUGCUUAGAUAUCACGAGGAACUCCGAUUGCGCAGGCAGCUUACUAAACUACUACUGACGCUAAGGCACGAAGGCGUGGGGAUCAAACAGGAUUAGAUACCCCGGUAGUCCCUGA
rnacentral:rRNA from 1 species